rnacentral:rRNA from 1 species
UACGGAGGGUGCAAGCGUUAUCCGGAUUCACUGGGUUUAAAGGGUGCGUAGGUGGGUUGAUAAGUCAGUGGUGAAAUCCCCGAGCUUAACUUGGGAACUGCCAUUGAUACUAUUGAUCUUGAAUACCGUGGAGGUCAGCGGAAUAUGUCAUGUAGCGGUGAAAUGCUUAGAUAUGACAUAGAACACCAAUUGCGAAGGCAGCUGGCUACGCGAAUAUUGACACUGAUGCACGAAAGCGCGGGGAUCAAACAGG